GGAAACUCGACCUCGCGAAGGCGACGAUGAUUCCCCGCUCUUCAUACCUCCUUUCGAUAUACCUACUCGGCAAGAUGUACCGUCAAAUAAAUCACUGGCAUUACUCAUUCGACAAACGAUACGUCGAGUGGACGAAGGAUGAUGAUAUUGUCAUUCUUUAGGGAAGACGAGCGGGACAAAAGGAGAUAUGUCGCAUAAUUAAGUAUUUCGAGACUAAGUUACUUAUUGUGUACUCCGCUCGUCGCGGAGUUAUAUCUUAUAAAGUCGAAAAACAAAGAAUAAGCAAAAAUUAAAGCCUAUACAGUGUCCCAUUAUUCGGUUUAUUUCUUCAUUAGAAAAGUAAUAAAAGUCAAUGAUAAUGAUAAUAUAUAUUUCUAUUAAGGAACGCAAUCCUUUUCCUUAAUCGAUUAAUAACUUUCUAUGAAUUCAAUUAUAAUCUCUUUAUGCUGUCACAACUUUGAUACAUAUAGCAAAAUAGAUCGAUAAUACUGCAUACCUUAUCUCCGUUUUUUUUUUUGUUUUGAAAGAAAUUAUAAGGAGAGAGACGAAAUAGAAAAGAAAAAAGCAAAGUGAGUGAAAACGCGAGGAGGAAGAAGGCAUCCAGCAGCGUCGAAAUCUCCGACUAUUCCCAGGGAUAGAUGCAGAGGUCACUAACCAGCAUGUAAAAGCAACCUGAAACCGGUGGCGUGACCUUGAUUUUACAUUAAGAUACCCUUCGAAGAUCCACGAAGGCGAAGGUGUGUCGAUCACUGACAAACGGAUUAGCCAUUUUUGACAUCUCCGUGACAUUUUCUCCGUAUAAUGAAUGAUGAAGGAGAAUCUAUCUGAUUAUGAGCGACGCGAAAUCAUUGCGGAAAUUAACUUGUUGUCAUUUACGGUCCGCGUUAAUUUAAAUUGAAUGAUAAACGUUACGAUUAACAAUAAGCAGAGCUCAAUAAGAUCGGAACAAUGACAGUAUGAGAAAGCAUCUAAGAGAAAAAUCUUUUUCAGCCGACUCUUCAAUUUUAGAGCCGUUUCUUCUCGUUGAUCCUCUUGGAAAUUUUGUAGUUGUCGUGUCCGUUUGUAUCCGUUCUUAAAGAAAUAUUUUAAUGGCCAAUUUUUUUGUAUUUUAUUUAUUUGUCGCGUUCUCGAAAAUUACUGCUAUCAUUAUUUGCGAGAAUUAAUUUCAAAAUUUUGCCAUACCCGGGAAUUAAGGAAACGCACGUCGUGCUGCUUAUUUAAUUUUUGUGUGAAUUAUGUUUAGUUACCGCUAAAUUGUUAUCUGUUUCGUAACGUUUGAGUACCUUUUCGUUUUCUCACGAUGAUUUAUGCGACGUUUCGCACCCGCCACGGUCGCUCAUCGUCUUCGGAAACCCGUUUGACUCACAUUUGCCUCCAUCAGAAGCCGUUUCGUGACUUUAAUGCGUGUUGUGUGAAGAGAUAUAUAUGUUUCGCAGAUAUAUAUAGAGAAUAACAUACGACAUCCUGUGGCGAUAUUUUCAAAUACUGCGAAAGACAGAAUCGUCUUUAUAUCGUUGCGAGAGUCAAUCUAUUCUCCGCGUGCUCUGCGUUGAAACCACU